rnacentral:rRNA from 1 species
CCUACGGGAGGCAGCAGAGAGGAAUAUUGGUCAAUGGACGAGAGUCUGAACCAGCCAAGUAGCGUGAAGGAUGACUGCCCUAUGGGUUGUAAACUUCUUUUAUAAAGGAAUAAAACGAGGCACGUGUGCCUUUUUGCAUGUACUUUAUGAAUAAGGAUCGGCUAACUCCGUGCCAGCAGCCGCGGUAAUACGGAGGAUCCGAGCGUUAUCCGGAUUUAUUGGGUUUAAAGGGAGCGUAGAUGGGUUGUUAAGUCAGUUGUGAAAGUUUGCGGCUCAACCGUAAAAUUGCAAUUGAUACUGGCAGUCGUGAGUACAGUUGAGGUAGGCGGAAUUCGUGGUGUAGCGGUGAAAUGCUUAGAUAUCACGAAGAACCCCGAUUGCGAAGGCAGCUUACUAAACUGUGACUGACAUUGAUGCUCGAAAGUGUGGGUAUCAAACAGGAUUAGAUACCCCUGUAGUC